UACGGGGGGGGCAAGCGUUGUUCGGAAUUACUGGGCGUAAAGGGCUCGUAGGUGGCCAACUAAGUCAGACGUGAAAUCCCUCGGCUCAACCGGGGCACUGCGUCUGAGACUGAAUGGCUUGAAUCCGGGAGAGGUGAGUGGAAUUCCCAGUGUAGCGGUGAAAUGCGUAGAUAUUGGGAGGAACACCAGUGGCGAAGGCGGCUCACUGGACCGGAACUGACGCUGAGGCGCGAAAGCGUGGGGAGCAAACAGG
rnacentral:rRNA from 1 species